GAUGAACGCUGGCGGCGUGCCUAAUACAUGCAAGUCGAGCGAACAGACGAGGAGCUUGCUCCUCUGACGUUAGCGGCGGACGGGUGAGUAACACGUGGAUAACCUACCUAUAAGACUGGGAUAACUUCGGGAAACCGGAGCUAAUACCGGAUAAUAUAUUGAACCGCAUGGUUCAAUAGUGAAAGACGGUUUUGCUGUCACUUAUAGAUGGAUCCGCGCCGCAUUAGCUAGUUGGUAAGGUAACGGCUUACCAAGGCAACGAUGCGUAGCCGACCUGAGAGGGUGAUCGGACACACUGGAACUGAGACACGGUCCAGACUCCGACGGGAGGCAGCAGUAGGGAAUCUUCCGCAAUGGGCGAAAGCCUGACGGAGCAACGCCGCGUGAGUGAUGAAGGUCUUCGGAUCGUAAAACUCUGUUAUUAGGGAAGAACAAAUGUGUAAGUAACUAUGCACGUCUUGACGGUACCUAAUCAGAAAGCCACGGCGAACUACGU
rnacentral:rRNA from 1 species